rnacentral:rRNA from 1 species
UCCGUAGGUGGCAAGCGUUGUCCGGCUUUAUUGGGUUUAAAGGGUGCGUAGGCGGCUUUGUAAGUCAGUGGUGAAAUAUGGCAGCUCAACUGUCAGGGUGCCAUUGAUACUGCGGAGCUUGAGUACAGAUGAGGUAGGCGGAAUUGACGGUGUAGCGGUGAAAUGCUUAGAUAUCGUCAAGAACACCGAUAGCGAAGGCAGCUUACUGGGCUGUAACUGACGCUGAGGCACGAAAGUGUGGGGAUCAAACAGG